UUUUGUUCCGUUGGUCUAUUUG
rnacentral:miRNA from 1 species